AGCAGCAUGGCGCAGUGGUAGCGCGCGGGGCCCAUAAAAUGGUUUGAUGGAAUCUGUAUUACCCCGAGGUCACUUGAUCGAAACAAGUUGCUGCUA